rnacentral:lncRNA from 1 species
GACGCUUUACCUGUCAGAUGGCCCAGGCUGCGGACACAGAAUCCUCCUGAAAACUUGUUUUCAAAAGGCUUUCCAAGAGGUCAUAGAUUUGGCUUUCAGCGGAGGAUGGAGUUGCGGGUUUGUGUAUUUUAAAUAAGGUAUUAGGACAAGUAGACAAGGAAGAAAUUUACUGACAGUUGCUGAAUGGCAACUGGCAGGAGGAGAGGAGAAGCUAUGAGAACAGUUAGAAGAGGUAAAGAGGCUUCUCCAGAAAUGCCAUACCACCUCCUUCAGUUCUCCAGUGGAGUAGCCACCGGCUGGUAUAACAAUGGACCAAGGCAGAAAAAAAAGAAAAGAACAACUCAUCAGAAACCAGGCUUUUGUCAGAAAGAAAAAAGAAAAAACAAUGCUCAAACCCAACUGCAGCAAGCAAUUAGGGAACAAUAGCUAAAUACUUUCUAUAAUUAGAGAGAGAAACUGUCGC